GGGGGUGGAGGGGGGGAGGGUGUGUUGGUGUUGCGGGGUAGAAGAUGGGGGAGGGGCGGGCUGCAAUUCAAGUGGUUCACUUCCAGAGAAAAAUUAACAAGGUUGCAAGCCACAAAUUGAAGAUUUAUCAUACAUGAUGUGGCAACAGCACAAUAAACCAGUAGAUAAAUGGACACAAAUGUAUGAGGUAUUACAAAAGAUCCUAAAGAAAAGCACAGGCUGUGCACUUGAAAAAUAUCCAAUAUACGAUUACAUAUGUGGAUAUGUACAUAAUAUUAACCUUUUUCUUCUCCAACUACAUGUGAGUCCAUCCAUUACACCAGAAAUUUAGAUGAGAAAAGUAAUUCACAUAGUUUAGGAUCCAAUUUAACAUAACAAAUUAACCUGUAACAGCCAAGAGUCCAGGAAUGUGAUUUAAGAUCAAUUCGAUUCCAUCUCCUUAUGGUUUGUAGGAACAUAAGACUACUACUGUGAGCAAGCCAAACAAGGGUAAGAUUGCAAAUUCAAUUUUUGUCAUCAUCGUUUUGUAUCAUUCAAAGAUGAGUUCAAAAGUGCCAGCAGUGUUGUUUAGCCAAAAUCACAAAAAUGCAACGUGGAGCUAUU
rnacentral:misc_RNA from 1 species